AUACUUAUCUGAUGGGGAGACACCAGGGUCAGGAAGGUGGUUUUCCCAGGGCUCAUACAUUGCACUCUGGCCGUGCCAACCCCUGUGAUUUCCUUAAAUGUGGGAAAGUAGAAUAAAUAAUUUGUGGCUGUUAGUAACUGUGUCCCUGCUCUCCCCUAAU
ensembl:snRNA U1 U1 spliceosomal RNA